UGUACAAAGGUAGCAUAAUCAUUUGUCUUUUAAUUGAAGUCUGGAAUGAAUGGUUGGAUGAAAAAUUUACUUUCUUUAUUUUAAAUAAAAAAAUUGAUUUUUAUAUAAAAAAGUUUAAAUAUUGAUAGAGGACGAGAAGACCCUAUAGAACUUUAUUCUUUUAUAUUAAUAAUUUUUUUGUAAAUGAUUAUUUAUUAAUUAUUAAGAAUUUUGUUGGGGUGACAAAAAAAAUUUUAUAACUUUUUUUAAUUUAUUCAUAUAUAUAUGAAUUAUUGAUCCUUUAUUAAGGAAAUAAGAUUAAGUUACCUUAGGGAUAACAGCGUUAUUAUUUCAGAGAGUUCAUAUUGAUGAAAUAGUUUGCGACCUCGAUGUUGGAUUAAAAUUAAUUUCAGGAGUAGAAAAUUGAAAUAUUAGGUCUGUUCGACCUUUAAAUUUUUA
rnacentral:rRNA from 1 species